AGUUGCAAAACCUCUUCUUUCUUCACCGAUAUCCCCUUUCUCUCUACAUGAUCUGAUGAUAAUGAUGAUAACGAGGGAGACUUAACUUCUUCUCCACGCAAUGCCCAAUUAUUUAUGGAAAUGAUUCAUAUUUUUAUUUUUUUUUUCGAUUCCUUAUAUGAUUUCACAGUUUAUGCGUUUGAUUUUGAUAGUCGGUUAACAAUUUUUGGUACCCUUGUCAAUUUCUAAUCUAUUUGUCCUAUUAUUCUUAUUCUAUUUUCAGUUUCAAAUGGAGGAGCUUUGUUUGGGGAUUAAGUGCGUCUAAUUUUUCCUCAAAUGCACCUGAAAUAAACAAGAAUGAGGAAACUGAACUCUAACGUCAACUCGGUUGAACAGGGAACCAUUUAUAAAUCUCAAAAAAUCAGCAAAAAUCGGAUAUGAUAACAUGAAUGGAGGAGCUGGUGGCGAAUUGUAGAUGACGACGUUGGCUACGGGGUUAUGGAAAACAAUUCCUAUGAAUAUGACAUGUCUCCAUCAAAAGGGAGGAGAUCCGAAGGAUCAAUGCAAAUGAUUCAAAUAGAAGAUGUAAAAUAAAUUUUCAAUCAGUGCUUAGAGAGAAGUUUUUCUUGAUCAAUGUGUAUGCAAAAGACAAAUCUAUUAUGCCUCCGAGGAGGUUCUCUGCUCCCACCAACUCAAUGGCAAGCCAUGUUUCUAAAUUGACAGCAACAUAACUCCAAUUACAAGAAGACGCAUUCCGCCACUUUUUGGCGACUUUCACUUUCAACCCGAUUCACCGCCUACAUGCCCUUUACGCCCAGUCAUUCCGAAGAACACUUACCCCCCCGUCUUACCGCGGCUGCUGGCACGGAGUUAGCCGGGGCUUCUUCCUCGAGUCUUGUCAUGAUCGCGUACUCGACGAAAGAGCUUUACAAGCGGCAUUGCCCUUCUUCACUCAUGCGAUAUUGCUGGAUCGGGCUUUCGCCCAUUGUCCAAGAUUCCCCGCUGCUGCCCCCCGCGGGAGUCCGGGCAGUUUGAGAUGUAAAUCAUUAAGCCAAAAGAAAAUUCAAAUAUGGAAGAUAGCGAGAAGAAAGGGAAUGCAAAUCAGUUUGGAUUUAAGGAAAAACUUUUGACAAAGGUUUAUGAAAGUGAAAACCAAAUCAGGAGCUUCCAAUGUCUAAUUCGUCCAACCAAAGCUAUCAAAGUGAACGAAAAUGAAGAAUAAGAGUAAUUCAGGAUUAUAUAUAUAUAUAUA